UUUUAGCCCCGAUGGAAGUGGCAUCCUUUUUUGAGGUUUUUACCGAAAAAAAGAUAUAACGUACAGCGGGAAAUAGC
rnacentral:sRNA from 1 species